rnacentral:rRNA from 1 species
UACGGGGGGGGCAAGCGUUGUUCGGAAUUACUGGGCGUAAAGGGCUCGUAGGCGGCCAACUAAGUCAGACGUGAAAUCCCUCGGCUUAACCGGGGAACUGCGUCUGAUACUGGAUGGCUUGAAUCCGGGAGAGGGAUGCGGAAUUCCAGGUGUAGCGGUGAAAUGCGUAGAUAUCUGGAGGAACACCGGUGGCGAAGGCGGCAUCCUGGACCGGCAUUGACGGCUGAGGAGCGAAAGCCAGGGGAGCAAACGGG